rfam:Sordaria macrospora k-hell, WGS project CABT02000000 data, contig: 2.1583, organelle: mitochondrion
UGCGGAUUGGUGUAAUAGUAACAUACUUGGCUCAUGUCCGACAGAUAUAGGUGCAAAUCCUGUGUCCGCAU